GCCGGCGCAGUGGUGCGCGCCUGAGUCCCAGCUACUCGGAAGGCUGAGGUGGGAGGAUCACUUGAGCCCUGGAGUUCUGGGCUGUAGUGCGCUAUACCGAUAGAGUGUCCGCACUAAGUUUGGCAUCAAUAUGGUGACCUCCCGGGAGUGGGGGGCCACCAGGUUGCCUAAGAAGGGGUGUACCAGCUCUGAUCCCAAACGGAGAAGGUCAAAACUCCAGUGCUGAUCAGUAGUGCGAUCGCGCCUGUGAAUAGCCACUGCAUUCCAGCCUGGGCAACACAGAGACACCCUGUCUCU
rnacentral:SRP_RNA from 1 species